rnacentral:lncRNA from 10 species
CGAGUAGCAAGACUAUUUCUGCAGAGUUCAUAACAGGAGCUCAUGUCUUUGCAGCUCUUCUCACCAAGAAUUGGAGUCUAUUUUCUCAACUCAUUAAAUCUGAGCUGGCUGUGUGACUUGCUUUGGCCAAAAAGACUUUAGCAAAUAAGAUAUAAGCACAAGCAGAGGUUUGAAAAGUGCUGGUUCGCUGGGGCUUACUGUAUUACUGCUCUUGAAAUGCUGAGAUGACCAUGUGAAUGAAUCCAAGGAAGCCUCCUGGAAGAUGAGAAUGCUGCAUAGAAGAAAACAGAGGUCUCCAGCUGACAGCCUGCCAAACACUAGAAAUGUGAAUGAGGCCAUUCUGGAUCAUCUUGUCACCAGCUGACCUCCCAGCUGACUAUCAGUGCAUGAGCAAACCCAGAAAAGAUGAGCUGAGCCAGUCCAGUGUAGAAGAAUUGCCCAGCCAACCCACAGAAUAAUGAGCUGAAUAAAAUGUUGUUUUAAGC